GACGAACGCUGGCGGCGUGCUUAACACAUGCAAGUCGAACGAGAAUCUGUGGAAAGAGGAUUCGUCCAAUUGAAGCAGAGGACAGUGGCGGACGGGUGAGUAACGCGUGAGGAACCUGCCUUUCAGAGGGGGACAACAGUUGGAAACGACUGCUAAUACCGCAUAACAUAUAGAUGUCGCAUGGCAUUUAUAUCAAAGUAUUUCGCUCAGAGAUGGCCUCGCGUCUGAUUAGAUAGUUGGUGAGGUAACGGCUCACCAAGUCGACGAUCAGUAGCCGGACUGAGAGGUUGAACGGCCACAUUGGGACUGAGACACGGCCCAGACUCCUACGGGAGGCAGCAGUGGGGAUAUUGCACAAUGGGGGAAACCCUGAUGCAGCGAUGCCGCGUGGAGGAAGAAGGUUUCGGAUUGUAAACUCCUGUCGUAAGGGAAGAGGAAGGACUGUACCUUACAAGAAAGCUCCGGCUAACUACGUGCCAGCAGCCG
rnacentral:rRNA from 1 species